ensembl:lncRNA
GGAAGAGAGAAAUCUGUCUCCCUCCAGCAGGUUGCGUUUUUUCGCCCACCAAGCAAGGAGUUUAUGUAUGGCGGUCAAAUGAAUGUCGACUUUGCGCAACAACAAAAGAAGUAGGAUUUAUUUGCCACGUGAGGUUUAUUUGAUCUAAUAAAAGUUUCGUAAUGCUUAAGUUGUUAGGAGCGUAGUGAUAUAAGGACACGUGACAUCCCAGACACUUUGAGAAAAAAAACACUUUAUAUGGGAGUUGUCUAUGCAUAUUCAUGGCAUGAGGGUAGUAGCAUAGCAUCUCUCUACCAUCCAAUCGUUUUUUCACAAUUUUCUGAAAAAUAGGAAUCCACAAGAAAGAUUGUGAGCUUGUGUGAAAUGGAAAAGCUUUGUGUUAGCUAUUGAUGAAGAAGAACAUAAAGACGAAGCAGCUGCUUUACCAGUGGGAUGCACUGUUUUACCGCUACAUCCGGAAGGGGUUCGUGCUGAUUGUACAGAGAUUUGACAGCUGGUUAAAUAGCGCCCCUUGACAAGGCAAGAACAAGAUGUAUAUCAGGAGAAGUGCAGUAUUAUCAUAAGGAGACUUCUACUUGGAAUAUGGAGGGGGUCUAAGACAGCGAGGGGGGAAGAGGGUGAGCUUGAGUCGGGUAAAAUGACGGAAAAAAGGGAGAUGGUUUGUUAAAUAAGAAUGGUAGAAUGUGUAAGCAGAGUGAGUUGAAGACUGGAGGAGAAAUGGAAGUGGAUGAGGGCAAAGUAUCAGAGGUGGUAGGUGUGGAGCCCAAGUCUUGCACUGAGGGUCAGGAUAAUGAUGAGUCUGUGACAGUAGGAGUGAGGUUUUUGGAAAAAGUGGACCCUUGCCCUUUUGGCUGAUCCAUUCAUGGUUUCAGGGUGGGUGAAAACAGAUUUGGGUGUUGUGAGGGUAAUCAGAAGUGGUCUUGUGAUAAUUGUUUGUGUUUCUGCUGGUCAGAGGGAGAAGGCACUCCAUGUUAAAUGAAUGGGGCUGAGAGAUGGGAAUUGUUUUGCUCUCAAGAAAUGGAGCCAUUGAAAGGAGUGAUUACUGGGGUAGUGUUAAAUGUGAAAGCUGACCAAUUGAAGGGGAAGAUUCCCGGUGUUUGUGAUGCUCUUCGUUUGGUGCAAUGCAGACAGGGUGGCGUGAGUGGAGAAACAGAAGAGUCAUUGUCUGUUCUUUUGAGUUUUGAUGUUGAGUCUUUGCCUGACAAAGUGAUGUUAGGAUAUAUAAGUUAUCCUGUAUGAGCUUUUGUGCCGAAUAUAUUAUGUUACAGAUGUCAAGCUUAUGGGCAUGUGGCAGCAGUGUGUAGGAGGGAGGUUCCUAGGUGUGAGAACUAUGCAGAAAGGAAUGUGUAGCAUUGGGUGAAGUAACAGUAUAUGUUAAUUGUAGGGGUGCCCAUGCGGCUGGGGAUCAUACAUGUCCCGUGUGAGAGAGGCAGGUUGAGGUUUUCAGGGUUAGAGAAGUGAAGAAGUUGUCAUAUGCCGAGGCAAUGAAGAAAGUAGAGGAAGAUGUGUCAAGGGGGAGGGAUCCUGAGAGGAGUGGUGUCAGUAGUAGAUCUGUACCAGUACAGAGGGAUAAACCAAUAAGUGAUAUAUGUUUCAGUAAGAUUGGAUUUUUGGUAUUUAUAGCAAUGGUUAUCAACUGUACUGCAGGGAUGGAAUGUAAAUCGCAGAAAAUAACAUUUGUGGUGGCAGCUGCAGAGCGGUAUUUGGGUGUGCAAGACUUGACAUCAGAAGAGUUAGAGGGUGUGUUAAGUGGUGGUGUCCCAUCCUUUCAGGCUGUUGGCCUGGCGUAGGACUGAAUAGAUUUAAAUAGUAGUGUAAAAAAAGAAAUGGGGGACUGAGUUUAGUGUUAGAUGGUAGAGUAUUUGUUGUAUUUAUUUCAUAUAAUAAUUAUAUAUAAUCUUUUUCAAACAAAGUAUGAGGGAGUUAUACUCCAGUCUAGUGUGUGGCGUUAAUGCAAUAUUUAUUGGAUGCCAACUGCUGUUAAACCUCAUCGAAGAAGAAUAAAUUUUUUUCACCAUUAAUUUUUGCAUCAGGAUUUUAGAACUACUUCAUUUAAGGUCUGUGUUUCGUGUAGGCUUACCCUGGCGUGACGUUUAGAUAACCGUGCAAAUCUCAGACAAGUGUUCCAUGAUCUACAAUGGCCACAUCUACUGCAGAGCUGCUUCUGGCCACUCUGACAGAGCUGGAUAAGGAUGUGUUGAAGACAUUUAAAUGGUACCUUAAGCAACCUGAUGGGUUUAUCUCCCAGUUGGGCUUCUCUCCCAUCCCAAAAUGCCAGUUAGGGGGUGCUGACAGAGAGGACAUUGUGGACAAGAUGGUGGAGACCUACAGCUUUGUGACCGCUCUGGAUAUCUCACUGAAGGUCCUGAGGAAGAUGAAACACAACAAUCAAGCUGAGAAGUUAAUGACAGGCUGUAAAAAAGAUGCCAGUGGUCAGGAAGAAAAUGCUGGGAGAACAUCCACCAUUUCACAUCAGGGAGCUUCUGUCCAUCCCACCAUCAGUGCUCAGACAGGAGGCCAUGUUAUUUCCCCUGCACUCACUGGCUGCCAUAUUGAUGGUCCAGGUAACAUCAGCAUCCAUGUCAACUCUCCAGAUGCUGAGGUUGGUGUUGAGGAAGCGCCAGAGAAAACAUCUACGACUCAGGUUGCUUCUCCAGCCAACAGCAAUGAGACUGGAGGCCUUGUUAUUGCCACAGCAAACCCUCCUGUAAACUCUACAGAAGAUGGUCUCUCAAAUGGGUAUGUGCCAACAAAAACUACAAUCCAAUCUGCGGAAGAACUGUCAACGUGUAUUUGAGGGAGUGGCUAAGCAAGGCGUUACAAAACUUCUCAAUGAGAUCUACACAGAGCUCUACAUCAUAGAGGGUGGAAGUGGAGAGGUCAAUCUCGAACAUGAGGUGAGACAGAUCGAGGCGGCAUCCAGGAAACGACCAGAGACGCCUAUCAAAUGUAAUAACAUUUUUAAGACCUUACCCAUACAAGACAACCAAAUCAGAACUGUGUUAACAAAAGGAGUUGCUGGAAUUGGAAAAACAGUAUCUGUGCAGAAGUUCAGUCUGGAUUGGCUGGAAGGGGAAGCAAAUCAGGAUGUCCAAUUCACCUUUCCCCUCCCUUUUCGGAAGCUGAAUUCAAUGACUGGGGAAAAACACAGUUUGGUAGAUAUUCUUCAUGAAUGUAUCGAAUAUGCAAAAGGGAUUGAAAAAUAAUUUCUCAACCACCUUUUUAGGACAUUGAAAGGAUCAGGAAAUUACAGUGAGAGCAAGUACAAAGUUUUGAUUGUCCUUGAUGGUCUGGAUGAGUUUCACAUGACUCUAGACUUCCAGAGCAAGAAUUGUAAGUAUGAUGUCACAGAGUCGACCUCUGUUGAAGUGCUGCUGACGAACCUCAUCAAGGGAAAUCUGCUUCCCUCUGUCCGCCUGUGGAUAACCUCUCGACCUGCUGCAUCUAAUCAAAUUCCAAUGACCCUCAGAAGGAAGAGCACUUCAGGAAGAGAAUCAGCGAUGAGAACCUGGCCAGCAGUCAUCUCACACAUAAAGACAUCAAGGAGCAUCUACAUCAUGUGCCACUAGUCUUCUGUUGGAUAUCUGCUACAGUUCUAGAGAAAAUGGGUGAAGAAGAGAUUAGAGAGAUGCCAAAGACCCUAACUCAAAUGUACACACAGUGUGCAGUUGUCCAAGCUAAACAGAUGAAUGUGAAGUAUUAUGGGAA